UACCAGCACCCCGAGUGGUCGGGACGAUUAUUGGGCCUAAAGCAUCCGUAGCCGGUUUUACAAGUCCUCCGUUAAAUCCAGCUGCUUAACAGAUGGGCUGCGGAGGAUACUAUAAGACUAGGAGGCAGGAGAGGCAAGCGGUACUCAGUGGGUAGGGGUAAAAUCCAUUGAUCUACUGAAGACCACCAGUGGCGAAGGCGGUUUGCCAUGAACGCGCUCGACGGUGAGGGAUGAAAGCUGGGGGAGCGAAACCACGG
rnacentral:rRNA from 1 species